rnacentral:tRNA from 1 species
GCCUGGGUGGCUCAGUCGGUUGAGCGACUGACUUCAGCUCAGGUCAUGAUCUCACAGUGUGUGAGUUCGAGCCCCGCGUUGGGCU